AAGCGGGGAACUCCCACGCACCCGCGUGAAGGGCCUGGUGAUGCUGCCAUCAGGUGGAGGUGAAGGGCUUUCCCGCGAACGCGCCGCUCGCUCGUCGCCAUGACUGAUAAUCAAGUUGAAACGCCGCUCAGAGUAUCUGUAGCAUGCCGGCAUUCUUCAAAACAUUUCCUUUUGUGUUCUACAAGUAACGCGGCAUAAAAGCAACACGAUUUGGUCUGCAAUGUGUCCAGCUGACCACUAGAUGGCGGUCUUUGAUUACAGGUUUUCCUCAUCUCUGAAUGACUUGAGAACCCCGGAUUCCUUCAACCCUACAUCAUUAUGCAUCUGUUCUUUGUUUCAUAGUCAUUCGCGUGGCUGACACUCUUAACAUGAUGUUUCGUGCUCAGGAAUCCCAGACGAGAGCCAAACGUUUACGCGUCGUACUCUAGCGGACGCGUCUCAUCAGCAUCUCCUAUCAAAACAUCAGUAUUUGGCCACACCUGUUCCUCUGAUGACAAUCCUGGUCACUUGGCUUUGGAGUUCCUCCUCCUCUAAUUCACUUUUGCCUGCCAGUUCAGAUGGAUCUCUGUGUGUGAGGGUUGAGAUGGAGCUUUGUGGUCUCUCUCUCUCUCUCUCUCUCUCUCUCUCUCUCUCUCUCUCUCUCUCUCUCGCUCCUGUACUGCUGGGUCAAAGGCAGAGAGACAGCACAAGUUUUUUGCCGUCAUCCUGUCAGGGUCAGCUUUUCACAUACAGCCAUAUGCUCUUGAAUGCAGAGGGAGAGUCAAAGUACUGCAUGUUCCCUAAUCUGACACUUUGGAUGGGGAGGGGGGCUAGAUGGAAACAAGGGAUGCGUUAAACGGCGCCGCGAAUUAAAACAGAAAAAGUGAAACAGAUCAUCCAGACUGACGGGAAGCUUGUUGUGCCGAGGCGGCGGUGGGAGGUGAGCACGUAAAGGAGCGCUGGGCUGUGCCUCGGGGCAGAGAGGAGAGAGCGGCGCUGCGGUGUUUGUUUGGAAAUCUCACACAGCUCGCAACAUUCCUGAGCGUCUGCGAAACCGGACAUCUUUCUCUGUUCGCUCUCUGGCAUUUCUUUUUUUUUUUUUUUUUUUUUCGGGCGGUCUUCUGGGGCGCUCCUGCGGUGCUAGUCAUGUAUGCAGCUGGAGUGGGAAGCAGUGGGCAGAGUAAAACUAAUACCCCCCCCCUCUCUCUCGCUCUCUCAGGAAAGUGCCUCUGCCUCGUCUCACGCAGAGCGAACGCAACAAAGAUCUGAGUGUGGCCGUAGCCCCGGGGCGAGCGCGCCCACCACGGCCUCUCCUGUGUCACGCAUUGCUGCUCCCUUCCAGAGCACUCUUUCUCUUUCAGGCGAUGUUCAGGCAAACAGGCAGCUCGGUAUUUUCUAUUACGCCGUCACUUUUAGGACACACGUUUGGUAUUUCUUUUAAAACAUCUAGUUUCACUCAAAAACAAAAAACCGUGUCAUCAUUUAAUCGCCCUCAACCUGUAUGAAUCUCUUGCUGGUUAACAAUAUUUUGAAGAAUUUGGAUGACCAAACAGUUGCUGGUCCCCACUUGACUUCCAUAGUAUGGACAAAAUACGCUAUGGGUGUUAAGUUUUUGGUUAUUCACAUUCUUUAAAAUGCAGUUUCAGUCGACACUGACUGUUUCUCACACUUUGACUUUUGUUGCUUCUAUAUUGUACUACCUGUUGAAAAAAAAACAAACAAAAAAAGACAGCAUAUGGUUUAGGUGUGUUUCAUCUCUUUGAAGCUGGAAUGCCGGUCUAAGCCGGUCCUUUGCUGGUUUAAGCUGGUCUAUAUCUGGUCAUGUGCUGGUUCUGAGUUGGUCUGACCAGCAUAAAACCCCAGCAAAAGACCAACUUUAACCAGCAAAGAACCAGC